rnacentral:rRNA from 1 species
AGUGAACGCUGGCGGUAGGCCUAACACAUGCAAGUCGAACGGCAGCACAGUAAGAGCUUGCUCUUACGGGUGGCGAGUGGCGGACGGGUGAGGAAUACAUCGGAAUCUACUUUUUCGUGGGGGAUAACGUAGGGAAACUUACGCUAAUACCGCAUACGACCUACGGGUGAAAGCAGGGGAUCUUCGGACCUUUCGCGAUUGAAUGAGCCGAUGUCGGAUUAGCUAGUUGGCGGGGUAAAGGCCCACCAAGGCGACGAUCCGUAGCUGGUCUGAGAGGAUGAUCGGCAACACUGGAACUGAGACACGGUCCAGACUCCUACGGGAGGCAGCAGUGGGGAUUAUUGGACAAUGGGCGCAAGCCUGAGCCAGCCAUACCGCGUGGGUGAAGAAGGCCUUCGGGUUGUAAAGCCCUUUUGUUGGGAAAGAAAAGCAGCAGGUUAAUACCCCGCUGUUCUGACGGUACCCAAAGAAUAAGCACCGGCUAACUUCGU